GACAUUUUAUUCAAGGUGGCAAUAAAUAUAGUUGUCGUCUGCUUUCCACACUCUCCCAAACACACAGCUGAAAUCUGGCCCCACUUUUGAGUUAACUUCUCUUCCACUAGCAUUUUGGCACAGACAUUUUAUUCAUCUGCCAUACUGGGGUAAAAAACUGGGGUGCUCCUGGGAAACCCUGUCUAUAUAUUCUGAGCUAAGUUUGUAUUUACCACAAUGCUCAACCUGUUACAUUUGAACUCUUCAUCAUCGAUAAUCAGAAACCAUUAACAAAUGUUAUUUACUACAUCCCCCAUGAGUCUUAUUCAUGGGGGAACUAUUAAAGGAUCAUGGGAGCUAUUGUUCAUUGUUUUACCUUGAUUAAAAUAAUAAGUUAUGUUAGUGGAUAUAAAGUUAAUUGAGAUGAGGCUAGUGGAAUAGAUGCUAGCU